UACGUAGGCAGCAAGCGUUGUUCGGAGUUACUGGGCGUAAAGGGUGUGUAGGCGGUUCUUUUAAGUUUGGUGUGAAAUCUCCCGGCUCAACCGGGAGGGUGCGCCGAAUACUGAGGGACUAGAGUGUGGGAGAGGAAAGUGGAAUUCUUGGUGUAGCGGUGAAAUGCGUAGAUAUCAGGAGGAACACCGGUGGUGUAGACGGCUUUCUGGACCAUAACUGACGCUGAGACACGAAAGCGUGGGUAGCAAACAGG
rnacentral:rRNA from 1 species